GGGAUUAUAGCUCAGUGGUAGAGCACUUGCCUAGCAUGUGUGAGACACUGGGUUCAAACCUCAGAAUCUCA
rnacentral:tRNA from 1 species